ACCAUACAAAUGGCACAAACGAGCUGCAAAGUCCCGACGAAAAAAAAAAACGCUGGCGAAAAAGUUCUUAUGGCGAAGAAAAACGAAGAAGAGGAGAAAAACAAGAGGUCCAAAAACCGGCCAUUUAAUGAUUUCUGCAUCAAGACAGCAAUACCCAGAUUUUCUUCAAGAUAUGAACCCUUUACAACAGCAAUUUUAUGAAGAAAUGUAACUUGCCACACUUCAUAAGAUGGAAAAAAGUCUUAACGAUGCAUUUAUCAAGAUUUGUUAAAAUUGUCUAGCCAUGAAACAUAUUUCAAUGCGGUUAAUAAAGUUCGAUAAUUA